rnacentral:rRNA from 1 species
UACGUAGGGUGCGAGCGUUAAUCGGAAUUACUGGGCGUAAAGCGUGCGCAGGCGGCGCGUUAAGACAGGUGUGAAAGCCCCGAGCUUAACUUGGGAAUUGCGCUUGUGACUGGCGUGCUGGAGUGUGGCAGAGGGAGGUGGAAUUCCACGUGUAGCAGUGAAAUGCGUAGAUAUCUGGAGGAACACCGGUGGCGAAGGCGGGUCUCUGGGCCGUAACUGACGCUGAGGAGCGAAAGCGUGGGGAGCGAACAGG